GCACGGGCUCUAGGGCAUGGGCUUAGUUGCCUCACUGGUAUGUGGAAUCUUCCUGCACCAGGGAUUGAACUCGUGUCCUCUGCAUUGGCAGGCAGAUUCUUAACCACUGGACCAUCAGGGAGGUCCCAUGUUAGUCUUCAUAAGAUUGUCUUCUUUUGAACCUUAAUUUUGUUUUCCUUCCUUUCUAUUUUGAUCCUAAUGUCAUAUUGCAUGCCUGGAUUAAAACAGCCGUCAGUUUCUCAGAUCCAGCAGAUGCCUUGUAGCAACUUGGAAGAUAUAUGGACAUAAAACCACUUUUUUUUCUAAGGAAUACCAUUACAAAUUAAGUAUGUUAAUGAUGCCAUCAAAAUAGAUAAUGAUCUUUCCUAAGCUUUGCUAUUUUAUGCCAGAUGCAGCACAUAAGAUAAUAGUGUAUCUAACUGUGCCUACCUUAGUAUUGGCAUUCAACAAAAACUUGUUGCAUUUGUCAAUAAAUCUUUAUAAUCUUUUUUUUUCCACCUUAUUUCGGGGAUUUUUGAAUAAAUGUCUCCUUAUUUAACCACCAACUUCAUGGGAUAACACUGACAGAGCAAUAAAAUGAGAAAAACAAGAAUUCUAAAUGAUCGGUUUGAGGCCUAGCUUUGACUUAGAAGAUAAGGAGAUAAGGAUAAGGGCUCAAUCAUGUACUGCUAAUAAUAAUUGGCUAACAAUUAUUAAACUCUUAUCAAUUUAUUUCAAUCUUAUUUCAGCUACUUUGCCAAGUCAUUUACAUGUGUUUAUUUAAGUCUCAAAACAACUCUAAACUGCUGCUGUUGUCCCCAUUUUACAGAUGAGAUAAGCAAGACAUUGAGAGCUUAAUUUGCUAAAUGACACAGCUAUUAAGUCCCAGGGCUGGGAUUUAAACCCCGGCAGUUUAGCUUCAGAACCUACAUACAUAACCAUAAUAUGCUGUCUCUACUCUCCAUGGUUCCGGGCACUACGCUGGGCCAUCCUUUUCAGUAACUUAAAUGCCAACGAAUUCUCAUAACUAUGCAAGGCAAUAUCAAUAAUUUAUUUUUAUAGAUAAGGUAACUGAAGGCCUAAAGAAAUUAAUAACUUGCUCAUGAUACAUAGCUAAUCAGUGCCAGACCUGGGAAUUUCCUUCAAGCCAUUAAGGAGUCUACUUCUCUUCCAUCACUCCAGGAAAUUAAAGUUUAUUUUAUUUUAAUUCAAUUUGGUUCAGCCAUGCUAGCACACCCUUCCAUUAUAGGUAAUAGAGAAUUGACUGCCUUACAUGAAAUGUUCUACAACAACAGCGGCAGCAGUACCAUUCGUUUCAUACAAAGUUUGAAAGCGGUGACCAACAUUUGCUCUCUGACUUGUAUCCCUUCCAUCUCCCAAAACCUCACAAGAUACACAGAAGACAGAAAAGGGUUUGUGCCACAGGAUGUGAAAGGCCUUGUCAGAACUGGGUAUUGACCUUUUGCCUAAGCUACCUUGCAUACUCUGAUAUGAAAAGUUAUCACAUGACUCAAGCAAAGUCCAGACGGGGAGUCAAAGUGCUAAUCUCUAACAGUAAUGUGUACAGAAUGGCCAUUUUCUCCCUUGAUGGUCAAAGAAAGCAUGUAAGUCAGCAAUUACAUAACAAACCACGGCAAAACUUAAUGUCUUAAAUUUUUUUUAAUUUAAAAAGAUUCUGUGAAUUGACUGUUUCUUCUGGUACCACCUAGAGUCACAUGGAACUGCAUUCAUCUGAUGACAGAGGAGGGAAGCACUUACUUUUUCUGAGUAAUCCUGAUUCUGUUUGGAUAUGUAGCAUCCUUGUCCCAGUAACCGCCAGCCCACCCAGCACUUCCCAUCUUGCUUGUCUGCAUCCAUCAAGAGUUUGUGUGGAUAUCCUGAGCAGCCCAUUCAGAGCCCUUACAGUCCUCGCAACCGGGAAACUGUACCCAGCACUCUCUACCAAAAGGACUGAGAAAACUGGCAAUUCAGAAAAGAUCUCAGAAGAAUCUUAAGGGUCUGACUUUAAAUAUUAAUUUCUAGGUAUAAAUGUAGAUUAUAAACAUAUAUAUAAUUAAAGCAAAAUAGAUUUUACUCUCCAUGAUGUC